UCCAUCUUGUGAACUUUCACCUACUUCCAUGCUAACAGCCUAUGCUGAAGCAGAAUAUGUAAUGGUCAGCUUUUCUAGCAGACAGUUGCAGUUUUGCUCGCACUAACAGAAACGGUAGUGAUAAUGCAGGGGAAAAGGGGGAGGGAAAGGCCUCCUGUGUAGAGCUUGCAAGGUCAAAGAUAAGCAUGUGAACGGGAAAGUUUCUAACAUGCACAAUGUGUACCGGCUUUAACUGCUAUUGGGUGGGGAGGGGUCUGAGGGAGAAAACAGAACAAAGCUUACACACAAACAGCUUGGAAUAUAAAAGGGAACACUUGCUUGUAUGUGCUGUGCUUGAUUUGAGACGUGCCUGUCUUCCUGCACCACUUUGAGAUCUCAAACUUUGUUUGCUUCUCCACCCCUGGUGCGUCUAUUGGUGCGGCGCACACCGGACAACGAACCCUGUGGCCCCCUCGGGGCCCAUCUGGGCCGGCAACAGUUUGGAUGAUACAGGGGACACUGACUGACCACCCAAGAUCUGAAAUGACAGAGUGUCCCUCAAUUUAGUACAGAGAUCUUGACUUUUAAGAAAAUCCAAAGAAAAAGAAGGGAAGGGACCUGGAUGGUUAAGGAAACUGUAAACAAGGAGAGUGCUGCUUAA